rnacentral:rRNA from 1 species
UACGGGAGGCAGCAGUGGGGAAUAUUGCACAAUGGGCGCAAGCCUGAUGCAGCCAUGCCGCGUGUAUGAAGAAGGCCUUCGGGUUGUAAAGUACUUUCAGUCGUGAGGAAGGUGUUAAGGUUAAUAACCUUAGCAAUUGACGUUAGCGACAGAAGAAGCACCGGCUAACUCCGUGCCAGCAGCCGCGGUAAUACGGAGGGUGCGAGCGUUAAUCGGAAUUACUGGGCGUAAAGGGCACGCAGGCGGUUAAUUAAGUUGGAUGUGAAAUCCCCGGGCUUAACCUGGGAAUGGCAUUCAAGACUGGUUAGCUAGAGUCUUGUAGAGGGGGUAGAAUUCCAUGUGUAGCGGUGAAAUGCGUAGAGAUGUGGAGGAAUACCGGUGGCGAAGGCGGCCCCGUCGGACAAAGACUGACGCUCAUGUGCGAAAGCGUGGGGAGCAAACAGGAUUAGAUACC